AAUCGAUUAUCUGACAUAAGUUAAUCGAUUAUCUUAGUAUCCGUUGCCUUUCAACGUCUAUAUUUUUGAAAGGUUAAUCGAAUAUCGUCCUGCGAUAAUCGAUUAUCGUUGCAGAUUUUUGAUAAAUUAUUUAAUCAUUUAGCAACGGAUACAAGAGUUUUUGGGGCUAUAAAUACACCCCAAAAACUCUCAUUUGACACACAACAAUCUGAGCAAACAUCAUAUACAAGAUUCAAUCAUUUAGCAACGGAUACAAGGGAUUUUGAGGCUAUAAAUACACCCCAAAACCCCUCAUUUGACACACAACAAUAUGAGCAAACAUCAUAUACAAGCUUCCAAAUAUUCUACAUUCAUUUCAUAUUUUUAAUUGCUUUUGAGAAGCCAUUUCUUGAAUUUAUUGUUGUNN
rnacentral:lncRNA from 1 species